GAUGAACGCUGGCGGCGUGCCUAACACAUGCAAGUCGAGCGAACAGAUCAGGAGUUUGCGCCUUUGACGUUAGCGGCGGACGGGUGAGUCACAUGUGUGUAACCUACCUAUAAGACUGGGAUAAUUACGGGAAACCGGAUCUAAUACCGGAUGAUAUUUCGACCCGCGUGGUUCGAUAGUGAAAUAUGGUUUUUGUAUCACUAAUAGAUGGACCCGCGCCGUAUUAGCUGGUUGGUAAGGUAACGGCUUACCAAGGCGACGAUACGUAGCCGACCUGAGAGGGGGAUAGCCGACACUGGAACGGGGACACGGUCCAGACUCCUACGGGAGGCACCAGUAGGGAAUCUUCCGCAAUGGGCGAAAGCCUGACGGAGCAACGCCGCGCGAGAGAUGAAGGCCUUCGGAUCGUAAAACUCUGUUAGUAGGGAAGAACAUACGUGUCAGUAACUGUGGACGUCUUGACGGUACCUGGUCAAAAAGCCACGGCUAACUACGUG
rnacentral:rRNA from 1 species